AUGUGGCUUAUGAACAAAACCUUUGUGGAAAGGCUUGAUAAAUAUAGGAGGAGGUUUUUCUGGCAGGGUUGCAAUAAAAAACACCGUUACCAUCUAGUCAGAUGGAGCAGAAUAUGUAGAUCCAAAGAGAAAGGCAGUCUGGGCAUUAAGGACUUACGCAAGCAAAACAUCAGCCUUAUGCUCAAAUGGUAG
rnacentral:rRNA from 1 species